rnacentral:siRNA from 1 species
GCAUUGUCAUCACACGGUAUUCC